CCCAAACUACAACCGCGCAGAAGGGGUACGAAGUUCACAUUUGUUGAACACCUUGGAUGGCGAGUCUUAGAAAUCGG
rfam:Geomicrobium sp. JCM 19038 DNA, contig: JCM19038.contig00012.